GGAGUCGAUUUAGCCUGCUAGUUGCGCGAGUUCAGACUCGCAGCAGAUAGCUCAGUAACACGUGGCUCAAUAUACCCUGCAGACACGGACAACCUCGGGAAACUGAGGCCAAUCCGCGAUACCGAUCCCACGCUGGAAUGCCGGGAUCCACAAACGCUCCGGCGCUGCAGGAUGCGGCUGCGGCCGAUUAGGUAGACGGUGGGGUAACGGCCCACCGUGCCGAUAAUCGGUACGGGUUGUGAGAGCAAGAGCCCGGAGACGGAAUCUGAGACAAGAUUCCGGGCCCUACGGGGCGCAGCAGGCGCGAAACCUUUACACUGCACGCAAGUGCGAUAAGGGGACUCCGAGUGCGAGGGCAUAUAGUCCUCGCUUUUGAGAACCGUAAGGUGGUUCUCGAAUAAGAGCUGGGCAAGACCGGUGCCAGCCGCCGCGGUAAUACCGGCAGCUCAAGUGAUGGCCAAUCUUAUUGGGCCUAAAGCGUCCGUAGCUGGCCGUGAAAGUUCGUCGGGAAAUCCAUCCGCUCAACGGAUGGGCGUCCGGCGAAAACUUCACGGCUUGGGACCGGAAGGCUCGAGGGGUACGUCCGGGGUAGGAGUGAAAUCCUGUAAUCCUGGACGGACCGCCGAUGGCGAAAGCACCUCGAGAAGACGGAUCCGACAGUGAGGGACGAAAGCUAGGGUCUCGAACCGGAUUAGAUACCCGAGUAGUCCUAGCCGUAAACGAUGUUCACUAGGUGUGGCACAGGCUACGAGCCUGUGCUGUGCCGUAGGGAAGCCGAGAAGUGAACCGCCUGGGAAGUACGUCCGCA
rnacentral:rRNA from 1 species